CCCGCCCCGAUUGCCCAGGGAUCGAACCAUCUCUGGGGAUAACCAAUCUGUGCAAAUCCUUAUCCUUUUCCUCUUUGCGUUGUGGGGGGUGCUAGCCAUUCAUUUUAAUAGAUGGUUUAUUGCGAGGCGAGUUCAAAUCAACCUGCGCGCGUUUCCAUGUUCUUUCUGGGAUGUCAGAGUCUUUUUUCCAGGCAAGAACAGGUUCACGAGACCUUUCCUAUAGCGAGUCACGCUCCUUCGCUUUGUUGUUUUGGGCAAGAAAAAACGGGAUGUGAAGAGCAGGGAAAGAACUUGGUAACAUCAGCAAGAGUUAGAACAUUCAUGAAUCCCUUGAAAAGGUGUAUUUAAUGUCUAAAAGACCGCCAUCGCUUUCUAAUCCUAUUUUUAGGAGGAAAAGAGAAUCCCAAGCAGCUAGUAAUGGGAGCUUUGAAGAUGGACACAGCUAAACCCAAAGUAAUGGCUUUAUGAAGAAGAGAUCAGAGGGGGCCAGUGGUGCAAUGGAUAACGCAUCUGACUACGGAUCAGAAGAUUCUAUGAAGAAGAGAUCAUAUAAUGUUCAAGGCCUGGCACUUCAGG